GUCAGUGGCGAACGGGGUGAGUAACACGUAGGUUAACCUGGCCAUCACAGGGGGAUAACUACUGGAACGGGUAGCUAAAAACCGCAUAGGUAAGGAAGAGGGAUCUCUUGCUUAUUAAAGGGGGCUACGGCCUUGGUGAUGGAUGGACCUGCGGCGCAUUAGCUAGUUGGUGAGGUAGAGGCUCACCAAGGCGAUGAUGCGUAGCCGACCUGAGAGGGUGAACGGCCACAUUGGGACUGAGACACGGCCCAAACUCCUACGGGAGGCAGCAGUAGGGAAUUUUCGUCAAUGGGGGGAACCCUGAACGAGCAAUGCCGCGUGAGUGAAGAAGGUCUUCGGAUCGUAAAGCUCUGUUGUAAGAGAAAAACGGGUAUCAUAGGGAAUGAUGAUAUCGUGAUGGUAUCUUACCAGAAAGCCACGGCUAACUACGUGCCAGCAGCCGCGGUAAUACGUAGGUGGCAAGCGUUAUCCGGAAUGAUUGGGCGUAAAGGGUGCGUAGGCGGCAAAAUAAGUCUGAAGUAAAAGGCGUUGGCUCAACCAACGUAAGCUUUGGAAACUGUUAAGCUAGCGUGCAGGAGAGGUUAGUGGAAUUCCAUGUGUAGCGGUAAAAUGCGUAGAUAUAUGGAGGAACACCAGUGGCGAAGGCGGCUAACUGGCCUGUAACGGACGCUGAGGCACGAAAGCGUGGGGAGCAAAUAGGAUUAGAUACCCUAGUAGUCCACGCCGUAAACGAUGAGAACUAAGUGUUGGGGAAACUCAGUGCUGCAGUUAACGCAAUAAGUUCUCCGCCUGGGGAGUAUGCACGCAAGUGUGAAACUCAAAGGAAUUGACGGGGGCCCGCACAAGCGGUGGAGUAUGUGGUUUAAUUCGAAGCAACGCGAAGAACCUUACCAGUCCUUGACAUGGAUUUAAAGGCCCUGGAGACGGGGAGAUAGAUAUAGAUCACACAGGUGGUGCAUGGUUGUCGUCAGCUCGUGUCGUGAGAUGUUGGGUUAAGUCCCGCAACGAGCGCAACCCUUGUCGCAUGUUACCAGCAAUAAGAUGGGGACUCAUGUGAGACUGCCGGUGACAAACCGGAGGAAGGUGGGGAUGACGUCAAAUCAUCAUGCCCCUUAUGGACUGGGCUACACACGUACUACAAUGGCGACUACAAAGAGAAGCGAGCCAGUGAUGGUAAGCGGAACUCAUAAAGGUCGUCUCAGUUCGGAUCGAAGUCUGCAACUCGACUUCGUGAAGGUGGAAUCGCUAGUAAUCGCGGAUCAGCAUGCCGCGGUGAAUACGUUCUCGGGCCUUGUACACACCGCCCGUCAAACCAUGGGAGUUGGUAAUACCCGAAGCCGGUGGCAUAACCUGCAAGGGAGUGAGCCGUCGAAGGUAGGACCGAU
rnacentral:rRNA from 1 species